AUCGCUUCUCGGCCUUUUGGCUAAGAUCAAGUGUAGUAUCUGUUCUUAUCUUAUCAGUGUGGCCCUCAGUAUCCCCGAAUGAGGUAUCUUUUCUGCAAAUACAGCUGAGAACAUCAUCGCCAAAGGAGCCGCAAGAGAAUUUCUCUGCGGAUCCCAAGGUGAUAGGCACUCCUCCUCCUGAACCUAA